GUCUCAGUUCGGAUUGCAGGCUGCAACCCGCCCUGCAUGAAGCCGGAAUCGCUAGUAAUCGCGGAUCAGAAUGCCGCGGUGAAUACGUUCCCGGGUCUUGUACACACCGCCCGUCACACCAUGGGAGUCGGGAAUGCCCGAAGCCAGUGACCCAAGCGAGAGCAGGGAGCUGUCGAAGGCAGGCCGGAUAACUGGGGUGAAGUCGUAACAAGGUACC
rnacentral:rRNA from 1 species